rnacentral:lncRNA from 1 species
CGCGUUUCUUCAAUCCCUCGUAGUACCUCUUCUGCCAAUCCUGCAACGGAUCAAAUCCCCCAACAACCACAAUCGUCGCCGGAAAAUCCACACCCGAAAUAUCCACCGCGUUCGGCCCGAACACAUUCACCACCGGAUGGUCCCGAUCCGACCCCUCCGGCAAAAACGCCUUCCACAUCCAGUCCGUCCGCUCUAUGUUCACCAGCGGCACACUCUUCAGUCUCGUCUCCGAUUCCGUCCGCUCCUCUCCACCGAAAAACGGCUGAAUCGCCAACAUUCCGACCACCUGCAGCUCCCGAAACUCGUGCCCGCUCGCUCUGAUCGCCACUUGGUGCGCUAUGUUCCCGCCGGCGCUGUCCCCUGCCAGAAAGCAUUGCCCGAGAUUCGCGCCCUCGAACAAGCUGCUUUGACUGUCGUCGAUGAACUUGAGGACGUCGAAACCGUCGUCGUACUGGCACGGAUACCGAUGCUCCGGCGCGAGGCGGUAGUUGACGGAGACGACGACGGCGGGGAGCUCCCGAGCGAGGCGUUGACAGAAGUCGUCGUAGGGUUUUGAAGCGGCGGACAUGAAGACGAACCCGCCGCCGUGGAAGUAGACGAUGAUGGGGAGCUUGGUGGUAGCGGCGGUGGGAGUGUAGAGGCGGAACCAGAGGUUGCGGGAAGGGUCGGCGGCGACGACGACGUCGGAGCUCUUGAUGUUUUUGUGAGGUUUUGUUAAGGGAGAGAGUUUGUAGUCGAACAAGUUAAAGAGGCAACGGUUGACGGUGAAGUUUGAGCGGCGAGAGGCGUCGACUGCAAAGGAAGCGGCGGAGACGAAGAGGCGGACGGUCCAUGGCAGAUCUGGUGUGCUUUGGAUUUCGGCCAUCUCCC